AGUUUUGAGGCAACGCCGCAAAAAGUGAGCCAACACGGCGACUCAUAGCAUAACUUCAUUUUAAUUCUCUCCUUUGCUUCAUACAGACAAGAAAUCUACAACAGUACACAAGAGGACGGUCCAGUUCGUCAUUGUAUCGUCCGCAACACAGUAUUAACCUUUGACUUGGGGUCACACACGGACCUCUUGGGUGAAGCUGAGGAGGAAAGGUUCAUGCACGUCUUGUUGCAAAGAUGGACACCUGGUCCCGGAACAGCACCGGGUCCAGUCUCAUCUGCGAGUGCAGCAGAGGCAUGUAGCCCAGCCAGCGACUGAAGGCGUUCAUGCACGUCUGCCGUUGGGCAAAGUGGUCGGGGUCGGCCCAGCGGGACGCCUUGGAGCCCUUUGUUGGGACACAAACACACACAAAGAACGUCACAUGCUGCGAAAAAUUGCAACAUUAACUGGAAGCAUUCCGAAGAAUACACCUGUUUGCCCUCCAAGUGCUUGAGCCGGCGCCUCGUCUGCAACCGAACGUGACAUCAUGUGCAACAAAGGUAUCGAUAUAUGAUUUUACCCGAGUAACAACAUAACUUGGUUGAUACUUAUAAAAG